GGCGCGCAUCGGCGAGCAAGUGUGGGCACGCGAAAACGAGUUUGACGGGCAGCGGCAGCAGUAGCAGCGACGAAUAUAGCGCGACGUUUUGUAUGAACUCUUAUGGUGUACUAUAGAAGAGCAGCGGCAACGUGAAGAGUGUGAUUGUGUUGAUUGCAUUGCGCCGAUCGGCUGCUUCAGCGCUAAUGCAGUGCGUUUCAAGGGCUGAGAUUUUCCAAUUGGAAAAUACCGGAAGUUGUGUAGCGACAGCGACGGUCAGGAGUUGCAAGUGUAUGCUGAGCAGAGCGUUCUCCGACGAUCUUAUGAAAUAAUUAUUAUUGUUGUCACGAUUGAUUAGUUAAUGAUUUUGCUAUGGGCGCGUAUUGAACUAUGUAAAAUGUGACGCGCGAUGUAUUAUCAAGUGAAAUAAAAUGAAAUCUCGAAAUGCCGACGCUGCAAAUCGCGCAAUAUCUAAAGAUAUAAACUGAAAGGAACUAAUAAAAGAAAUAAAUAUAUAUUUUUUUUUGCGCCAACACAUCACAUGACCACAGUAGCGAAAAUUUGAGUUCAAAGAGUUUAUAAUAAUAACCAAAGCACAGGCUAGUUGGCCAGUCAAAGUGUCAAAUUACCCCCAAACAAGUUUUAGUCGUCUAUUGUUGUUGUUGCUAGUGCAGGCGGUUGACAAGUUUGUGAAGCGUUUUUUAAUUAGAGCAGACGGUGGGGAUUUCGGCUUGAGUUUGUGGUUAAACUGCUUUUCUGCACGUGUAAGUGUAUGUGUGCGUGUGACGGCAUGCAGGCAGUCCACCAAAACCUUGACCCUGUCAACCGAAACAGCAGAAACUACAAAAACGAAAGCAACAUUAGCAAAAACACAACAAAAAAAAGUGAACCAAAACAACAACAACAAUUAUUUAGUAAGCGUCCGUCAGCAGUCAGCGCCAUUAGAAUGCUGACCUGUCAAAGUGUGAACAGCUACAAGUUUUAGGUUGCCAGUAACACAUGGCAUUCAUAUGUCAAGUAAACUAUCAAAAAACAACAACAAUACCAGCACAUAUUUUACAGCUAACAGCUUUGGUUUAAACCACGGGCGCGCUUCCAAUCUGUGACCAACGGCCAUUUUGUAUGGCAAACAGUGGCAAAAUGUCGCAGUGGUGUUAAUGACACAGCGUGAACGUAAGCGGUACGAGUAAAAAAAGAAAUAAUAAUAAACAGUUAUGCACCAAGUAAUCGAAAAUUAAUGCAUAACGGUUGUUAAAGAUCGCAGCUUCUCUGUUGGGACACAAAAAAAAAUCGAAACAGUAAAAUAAUAUGCCAAACUUUGCGUGGGUCUUUUUCGGUAAACAAAAAUUAUGACUUUAUUAUACAAAUUAGUUAUCGAUUUGUAUGAUCCACACACAUUUAGUUUUUGGCUUUAAAGCAUUUUAUAAACAAAACGAACCUCAUCAAAUUUGUAAAUAAAAACGUGCAAUAUUUUGAUUUCGUAGUGGUCAACUGAUCAUAAUGGCUGCUUAUGCGCAGUAUAAUGGCUGCGGUUAUCCGUCGGCGAAUCAGUAUCUCACGGCUGGUGGUGCUUUAUCCAAUCUGCAUCCCAUCUCACCAUCUCCGUUAGCCGCCACGAAUCCUGCUCAUCCACCUGCCUCGAUCAGUCCGCCCUCCAAUGGGCAUGAUAGUAAUGUUAGCAGUACUGGUGUUGGUGGUGGUGUCGAUCUCAAUAGUGGCACACUAACGCCCGAUCCUGCCUCGCAACCUUCAAAUACCGGCACACCCAGCGCGGCAGGCAGUAGCGCCAGUGCGAGCGGCAGCAUCGACAGCAGUUCGCUGGAACCAUAUGGCACAUGUGCAACUGUCGAUCCAAUGACGGGUUUACCACCACCUUCAGUAACACAACAUUCGCUGUCCGCUGGCGCAGUUUGCUGUGAUAAUGGUCGACCAGUUAUGACAGAUCCGAUGACGGGUCAAACGGUUUGUUCAUGUCAAUACGAUCCAACUCGUUUGGCUUUGAGUAGUUAUGCGCGUAUGCAGUCGGCAGCGGCAGUAGCGGCUUCGGCUGGGGUACAAACGCCUAGCGUGGGUGUGUACGGUACACCAUAUCCCUCGAAUGAGCAGAAUCCGUAUCCCAGUAUUAGCGUCGACAGUGGGCCCUUCUACUCAAGUUUGAGUACGCCUUACACUUUGAAGGAUGGCAGUUGUAACGGCAGUGAGGUGACAACUUGGACUUCGACGGGGUUGCCACCUUCAACCGGCUACUAUACGUACGAUCCAACAUUCGGUGCGUAUGGUUAUGGCGCCAGUUAUGAUUUAGCGUCGCGGCGGAAGAAUGCCACGCGUGAAUCCACAGCCACGCUGAAGGCCUGGCUCAGUGAGCACAAGAAGAAUCCAUAUCCGACCAAAGGCGAGAAGAUCAUGUUGGCCAUUAUCACCAAAAUGACACUGACACAGGUGUCCACGUGGUUUGCGAAUGCGCGCCGACGCCUCAAAAAGGACAACAAAAUGACUUGGGAGCCAAAGAAUCGCACCGAAGACGAAGAUGAGGACGCGUUGGCCUCGGACGAGGAGAAACCACGACACAGUGAAGAGAUGAGCAUGAAUAGCAUUAGUGUUGGUGGCGUUGGCUGUGCGGAGCGCAGGCGGCCACUCGGCAUGGAGUACCCUGGCGGCGCCAUAAACGUUACAAUUGGCAACAACACAACAGUUGCGGCAAAUACAUCGACGACGGCGGCAGCAGGUGCCGUGGAUGUUGGCGUGAGUGGCGUGGGUGCAACAAUUGCGGCUGCGACGUCGACGGUAUCGGCGGCAACCAACCAACAUUCCCACAUCGGCGGCACGAGUGUGGGCGCCGUCGGUGCAAUACAACCUGCAAAAGAAGCUUUAGAUUUAGUGCAAUUAAAUAGAGCCACCACGCCGCCAGCAAUUGAAGUGCAAUCAACGUCAACAGUUAACUAUCAGUCUUAUGAAAAUCCUGACGCAUACAUCACAAACAGUUACAGUUAUGCCAAACAAGAGCUGCUCUACAACCCACCACAAAGCAGACCACGCAUAUGGAGCUUGGCCAACACGGCUGCCGACGAGACUUCGCCGCUACACCUAAGCGCACUUACCAACAUGAAUGCCAUGCAACGCGAAUGGACCGCCAACUAUAUGCCUUCACCCUAUGCGUCUGCCGGCGCAAAGAAUCAAACCGCCGUAGUCGCAACAAUUUCCAUGCAACCCACUUCACCCGGACCAACCCUCUCCAACGGACCACAGCGGUACGGCGGACAAUCGACUGCAGUGACGCCACCGCAAACACCGCCAAACCAAUUGCACACAUUUGCUGGAGCUUUUAAUCACGGCGGCGCUAUGCAGGCAGCUAGCCGGGAAAUGACGGCCUACAAUGCGGCAAGAAGUGAGGAGCUCCGUGCCGCUGACAGCCUCUACUGUAAGGGUCAGAAUUGCGCGUGAUUGUGCGCCGAGUGUGGGGGAUAGGAGUUAAAGGACCUGCAGCUCAUGGGUUUAAUCUCUAUCAACAUCCUCAACAGUAUUCGCGAAAUCUCU
rnacentral:misc_RNA from 1 species